ensembl:lncRNA
GCUGCUGCGAGUCCUGCAACCUGACCUCUGCUUGAUUCUCCAGCCUCAUUUCCUGCCACAAUUCUCUUCAAAAUUUCUCAACUCCAGUGACUCAAUUUCAAACCUCAUAAUGUUAGGCUUAUUGGGAUUCUUCUCAGGGCGGCUGAGAGAUCACCCUUCACAGCCACAAUUUACAUAAUUAUGGGAGGGGGCUUUGCUACUCUUCACUGCUGUGUUCUAAGCACCAUGACCAUGGCGAAUUACAAAAGAAGGUGGUUUAUGUUCCAGAGGAAGAGUCUGCAACAUCGGGUGAGGCCUGGCAGCAGACAGCUAGAACCAUAAACAAAAGCAGAGAAAGCAAACUCUCAGAGCCUCCCUUCCCCACCAAGGGACUUGCUUCCUCCUGCAGGGCUGCACCUCUUGAAAGUGACAUAUUGUCUGCAAACAGCACAGCAAUUGCAGAGCAAGUGUUGGGACACCUGAGCCUAUGGGAGGCGUUUCUCGUUUAAGCCACCACAGAAGAGUGUCUUCAGGGUGUCUUGUAGUUCACAGGACAUGGCAUAAUUAUAAGAACUAUUAAAUGUUCCAAAGAUUUCUGAGACUUUCGAAUGACAUUUCAUAAAUGAAAUGUGUACAACAGAAUAAAGACCAAUAAAGAAAAAUAAAUUGCACUUGUAGGGAAUUGUCAACUCAUGGAGAAGUGAAUUUUCCAUCAGCUGGUCACCUUUGUGUGGAGAGAAGCAGUGACUUCCUGAUUGACAUGGGAAGACUUCAGCAAUUUUCCAAUUGCUAAAGAGUUUGCUCUGACUCUAUCUCAGGGUCAUCAUGGUAUUUUAGUAGCAACACAAGGCUUCAAACAGGAGAUGUUGAAGGACAGUUGCUCUCCUUUUGUAUUGCGGCUUGGUCUGCAGCUAAUUAGAAGGUCACAGACAGAAGUGAACUACAGCGGAACCACAGACCACUGUUCAGUCGUCCAUUGAAAGAUGGAAGAAAAGCAUUUCAGGCCAGGCAAAAAUGGAAGCAAAGGUGAUUCAGUAUCAAAAUCAGACUGAGAAAUGAUGCCAAUAUACUGGAACCCAAGCCUGCUUUAAUUAUUUCUUUCUAUUCUCAUUUUAUUAUAUACAUACAAUUUCCUUUUAUUAAAUUUAAUCCUGCUCAAAGAAAUAUUUCAGCUGUUGGAGAUGACAACUUUUAGUUAAAUACUUUGGAUUCUGAUUGGUAUAGCAAAUAGAUUUGCCAGAGGCAGUUAAACAACAAGAUAAAAAGCUCAUUGGAAAAUCUCAGAGACUGUGAUUGGUCCUGAUUAAACUCAACCCUUCCACACGUUGCUUUGGAAUGUUUAUCUAGUAAAUCACAAACAUAUCUUUAAUAGAUGUACGUGCAUUUGUCUUCCAUUUGCUUUGGGUGAUAGUUAACCCAG